UACGUAGGGGGCAAGCGUUGUCCGGAAUCAUUGGGCGUAAAGCGCGCGUAGGCGGCCCGGUAAGUCCGCUCUGAAAGUCAAGGGCUCAACCCUUGAAAGCCGGUUGAUACUGUCGGGCUAGAGUCCGGAAGAGGCGAGUGGAAUUCCCGGUGUAGCGGUGAAAUGCGCAGAUAUCGGGAGGAACGCCAAUGGCGAAGGCAGCUCGCUGGGACGAUACUGACUCUGAGACGCGAAAGCGUGGGGAGCAAACAGG
rnacentral:rRNA from 1 species